GUGUCAGCAGCCGCGGUAAUACGGAGGAUCCAAGCGUUAUCCGGAUUUAUUGGGUUUAAAGGGUGCGUAGGCGGCCAUUUAAGUCAGAGGUGAAAGACGGUAGCUCAACUAUCGCAGUGCCUUUGAUACUGAGUGGCUUGAAUGAACUAGAGGUAGGCGGAAUAAGACAAGUAGCGGUGAAAUGCAUAGAUAUGUCUCAGAACACCGAUUGCGAAGGCAGCUUACUAUGGUUUAAUUGACGCUGAGGCACGAAAGCGUGGGGAUCAAACAGGAUUAGAUACCCCUGUAGUCC
rnacentral:rRNA from 1 species